GCUUACGGCCAUACCAGCCUGGGUACGCCUGAUCUCGUCUGAUCUCGGAAGCUAAGCAGGGUUGGGCCUGGUUAGUACUUGGAUGGGAGACCGCCUGGGAAUACCAGGUGCUGUAAGCA
rnacentral:rRNA from 1 species